rnacentral:rRNA from 1 species
GGAAUAUUGGUCAAUGGGCGGAAGCCUGAACCAGCCAUGCCGCGUGCAGGAUGACUGCCCUAUGGGUUGUAAACUGCUUUUGUCCAGGAAUAAACCUCCUUACGUGUAAGGAGCUGAAUGUACUGGAAGAAUAAGGAUCGGCUAACUCCGU